rnacentral:lncRNA from 1 species
GCUGCAAAAGGUUACUGCCUUUCUUUUUUUAGCUUGAGAAUCCAUUUAUACUACUUCCUUUAUAACUUCACAUAACACGUCGCUUGACACUUUGACAGUGUCAAGACACGUUUUAUAUUAAGUUAUAUAGAGAGUAUCUUUUGUUUCUACAAUGCAUGUACAUAGAACCAUAUACAAGAAUUUGACAGUUUAACCACUUUUUGCAGAGAAGAGGUGCUAUGAUAUGAUAGAUUGCUAUGAUCAGCGUUGUCGUGAAUAUUGUUUUGCAGCCGGUAUCGGCGAAACAGGACACUGCAGAUUUACUGUAGAAUGUUGUUGUAAUGUUUAGAAGAUAGCUCAAAAUGCUUAUUCUGCCAGAAUAUGUACCGGCGAGAUGGUAAACUUUGAUAUUAAAUAAC